CGGAGUCACGUGACAGGAAGUCCUCUGUGAGAAGCGGAAGUCUACUGUGCGACGGGAGGCGGUGGGGGCGGUGCCGGACGGGAAACUGUACCUCGUGUCGUAGGGAAAAGCUGCCAAGAUGAAGGUGAAGAUGCUGAGCCGGAACCCGGACAACUAUGUCCGUGAAACCAAGUUGGAUUUACAGAGAGUUCCAAGAAACUAUGAUCCUACCUUACAUCCUUUUGAGGUUCCACGAGAAUAUGUAAGAGCUUUGAAUGCUACCAAGUUGGAGCGUGUAUUUGCAAAGCCAUUCCUUGCUUCCCUGGAUGGGCACCGAGAUGGAGUCAACUGCCUGGCAAAGCAUCCCAAGAGCCUGGCUACAGUCCUUUCCGGGGCAUGUGAUGGAGAGGUUAGAAUUUGGAACCUGACUAAGCGAAAAUGUAUCCGUACAAUACAAGCACAUGAAGGUUUUGUACGAGGAAUAUGUACACGCUUUUGUGGGACAUCUUUUUUUACCGUUGGCGAUGACAAAACCGUGAAGCAAUGGAAGAUGGACGGACCGGGCUACGGAGAAGAGGAGGAGCCACUGCACACAAUAUUAGGAAAGACAGUGUACACAGGAAUCGAUCAUCACUGGAAAGAUCCUGCCUUUGCCACCUGUGGACAGCAAGUGGACAUUUGGGAUGAGCAGAGAACCAGCCCUAUAUGCUCCAUGACCUGGGGCUUUGACAGUAUAAAUAGUGUUAAAUUUAACCCCAUUGAGACUUUUCUCCUGGGAAGUUGUGCUUCUGACAGGAACAUAGUCCUGUAUGAUAUGAGGCAAGCUACGCCUCUGAAGAAGGUUAUCUUAGAUAUGAGAACAAAUACAAUCUGUUGGAACCCUAUGGAAGCUUUUAUUUUUACUGCAGCAAAUGAAGAUUAUAACUUGUACACGUUUGACAUGCGUGCUCUGGACACCCCCGUGAUGGUGCACAUGGAUCACGUGUCUGCCGUGCUCGACGUGGACUACUGUCCCACGGGGAAGGAGUUUGUGUCUGCCAGUUUUGACAAAUCCAUCCGCAUCUUUCCUGUGGACAAGAGUCGAAGCAGCACACAUGAAAAAGGAGAAAAGGGAAGUGUACCACACCAGGCGGAUGCAGCAUGUCAUCUGCGUGUGCUGGACGGCCGACAGCAGGUACAUCAUGUGCGGCUCCGACGAGAUGAACAUCCGCCUGUGGAAGGCCCAUGCCUCCGAGAAGCUGGGUGUGCUGGCAUCACGAGAGAGAGCCGCCCAGGAUUAUAACCGGAAGCUGAAGGAGAAGUUCCAGCACUAUCCUCAAAUCAGACGCAUCGCGUGUCACCGGCACCUGCCCAAGUCCAUCUACAGCCAGAUCCAGGAGCAGCGCGUCAUGCGGGAGGCGCGCCGGCGCAAGGAACUGAAUCGUCGUAAACACAGCAAGCCAGGGUCUGUGCCAGUUGUGUCAGAGAGGAAGAAACACGUACUGGCAGUUGUGAAAUAACAUUCGGUAUUCCUACCGACCCUGAUGUGUAACUGUUACCUUUGAUUUGGGAACUCUGUAUGUAAAUAAAAGCACUGGCUCUAAUUUA